UUAGCUGUUUUGCAGUUUUUUUGCAUGUUUGUUCCAGAUUAGUGAUGCAUAAACCUGAAUGCUGCUUCUCCAUGUUUGGUUCUGGUUCUGAGGAUGAACAGCAGACAAGAACCAGAAGACUUGAGCGUUGAUAUUACAACAACAGCUCUUUUAU